AACAUUCAUAACGUCCGAUAACGCAGUCAUGACAAGUUUAUACUUAACAUUUACCUUUGUGAUACUUGUAGUUUGCAGGAUAUGCAGAGGUGAAAAUGUCAAGUAACGUUGUGUAUUUCAAUUACUGCAUGACACUUGAGCCUGACAAAUCACAACAAGUGCUGGUGGUUCCGUUAUAAUAAGUUCAUCAGCAGCGACUGUUCCGGAGGGGUCAUCACUAACAUUUACCUGCACAUAUACUGGAAAUGAGCAUCUGUACGCAAUAACAUGGACAAACAAUGGAAACAAUUCGUCAAGGAAAUAUGAUAUAAUAAUUCAAUCAUCCGAACCAUGUUCAAUAUUUGAGACUGGUCUCAACGAAAAUCUUUUCACCUACACCUGUCACACGCUGACUAUUUUAAAUGUAACACGGGAUUAUCAUAACGACAACUUUACAUGUCAAAAAAAUGGGAAAAUCAACAGUGGCAAUAGUGUUGUCGUCAGUGUUGCAGAAAAGAGAAGGCAGCCUUUGUUACCCAGUGAACACCCAGAGCAUCUUGUUACUUAACAAUAGCCUCAUAAAGACCUAAAACUAACAAGAAGUGUACCAGAAAGCUAAUCAAAUACUAAACAAAGCGUAAACUUGAGGCGGGCGGCGGGCAAAUAUUUUCAAGGGCAGAAAUCUUGCAGUUUGUAAAAAAAUAUGCUAAGCUCUAGCUUGACGAUUUAGGCCGAAAUUUAAAGUGUUACUCAUUUACACGGUGGAGUAAAUUUAAUCAAACAUCAAUAAAGUAAAACACAGGAAUAUAAGAAAUAGCUUUAAACUCUCUCACAUUCAUGGCAGAAUGUCUGGGGACGGUCCUGUACGACAACCAGGACGGCGAAUAUGUGAAGUUGCAUGCACACACUCACACACCUUUACAGCUCAUCAGUCAUUGAGCUUUGGUCUCACACUUUUUCACUUACACAAAUUCAAACUCGAUCGAUCGAUCGAUCAAUCAAUUAAUCAAUCAAUCAACUAAUGCACACUCUCCUGGAAAGCUAUGACAUCCUUUGGAAGAGAUGAAUCUUGCAGUCAGGUUAAUGGUUGCUGACUUAACUUUAAUGUCCCAAACAGCAACUGCAAUUAGAAAAGCAUGUUGUUUACAGUCUAAAAUGAAGAUGAUUUCAUUUACAAAAUAGCCUUGUAUUGAUUAAAAUUAAACAUUCUGCUGGAGUAACAUAUCUAAAUCCCCAAAUGGAUGCUCAGCGAAACACGAAUUGCAUUGCAUGUCCGAGGGGAUAUCCCAUGUCCCAAGGAUAUCUGGACGCAACUUACCAUAGCCGCCUUGCGUUUUUAUUCACAAAGCCAGCCUACGCAGUACAUUCUUAUUUUGCAUGAUGUGUACUGAAAAGUAUUAGCUUUCCAUAAAAUUCUUCAAUAAACCUAUCCAUGAAUUCAAUCAAAUUAACAAAUACCUUUUGAAAUGGAAAUAUGUAAAUUUUACCUAAUUAUUGAUAAAUACAACUUAUAUUGCAAUCAAACUGGCUGAAAUAUCAGAAGAAAUGAGUCCUUUUUCCUAAAGCCAGGUUUUGAAUUUGCAGAUUACAGUUCACAGAUCAAGAAUUUAAGCAUUUCAUAAAAUUCAAAUUAAACAAACCUUGAUAAAAUUCAUUUUAUAAUAACCUGUUCACAAUCGUUGUUAAAUAAAUAUGUUUAAACUGAAUUUCUGAAUCCAUCUAUGUUAGAAAGAGAUACUGCAAAAUAUUAUUCAAAACCACAUAAUUGUCUUCAAAUAUGAUAUAAAUCAUGUGUAAACUUGCAAGAAUACAAUGUCCACAUCAUUAAAUGCUACCUGAAUGGGAAAAACGUUUCUUUCAAGACCUACUUAAAGGGAUACUGCGACCCGGAAGCAUUUCGUUGUGGGCCGACACCUUUAUACCCCUUUCCCGAAUAUUCUUUAAACACAACGUCUUAUGGUAUGUCGGUGCCGGUUUUGAUGACCAGUGUACAUCCAAAAGGUAGUUUUUAUGCCAAUAUUUACCGAAAUGAAUUGGUUGAAAGCUUAACAACAAUAUACAGUGUACACAAUCAAAUACAAUAGUUACUGCUCCAAAAAUACUGAGCAAUCUAAAAUCUGACCCCUUGCAUUCCCCAAAUACUCAUGAAGUGUUAAGUUUUAAUUUAAGCGACAAAAUCACAUUCAAGCAGAAUGAUUUCAAGCAAAAAUGAACAAAAAAUUAAAAAACAACUGAAAUAUAUUGUUUUAUCCGUGUUUGUUUGUUAUCUUUUUGUGAUUCAGUUUUGAAAAUGUUUUCCAAUGUUAUGAUAAAAGAUGAAAAAGGGGUGCAAAUAUGAGAAGCUUUGAAGAUAUAAACUGGUAUUUUAAAUGCAUACCCGCAUAUAUUUUCGGUGGUGUUUGGUUCAACUGAAACAAUCUUUUAUAAAUAUUAACCUUAGUUCAACUAACAAAUUCAAUAUUUGAAUGCUGAAAGAUUUGUUUUUAGAAGACUAGCAAUGAUGUUUUUUCUUUUCUUGUCUAAAUUUCAAUACAAAUGAAAACUGUUAUGAACAAGUUCUUAUGCGCUGUUCCGUCUGAGAAGUUCCCUGGGUGUGAACCGCUCACUGUGUUAUUGGCUUCCUCUGAAUUCAUGACAAUAUUUGAACUCAAUCCAAUGCAUCUUUUCUGAACGAACGACAAAUGAAUACUCACAGUUUCGAACAGUGUUUUUAUUGGUCAUGGAUAGUAACUUUUUACCUGUCUGUCAUAUUUGGCAAAUAAAGAAUUUUUACAAAGUUGUUUUUGAUGGUUUUGUAAAUUCUGUGUGGAUAGACUAAAUACAGUUCGAAUUAGUCAAAACAAAACUAACAUAAAUUUUGGAGUUAUUCCGUGUAGACCUUAAAAUCAAUUUUGAUUUAUAAGUAUGUAGAUCGGUUUCAAAAGCUCAGUACAGUAUUUACUUGUUAAGUUAUCCAAUUUUUGUAAAUAAAUAUUACUUCACCUGACUAUAAUGUACUGUAGAGGGGUCGUGUCGUAAAGUUAAGAAAAAAAUCCAAGUAAUGCAACAGUCAAUUGCAGCAUGAGCCUCCCGGACCUGUGAAUAGCGGGGAC